AAUAGAUACCCUGGUAGUCCACGCCGUAAACGAUGAGUGCUAAGUGUUGGGGGUUUCCGCCCCUCAGUGCUGCAGCUAACGCAUUAAGCACUCCGCCUGGGGAGUACGGUCGCAAGACUGAAACUCAAAGGAAUUGACGGGGGCCCGCACAAGCGGUGGAGCAUGUGGUUUAAUUCGAAGCAACGCGAAGAACCUUACCAGGUCUUGACAUCCCGGUGACCACUAUGGAGACAUAGUUUCCCCUUCGGGGGCAACGGUGACAGGUGGUGCAUGGUUGUCGUCAGCUCGUGUCGUGAGAUGUUGGGUUAAGUCCCGCAACGAGCGCAACCCUUAUUCUUAGUUGCCAUCAUUCAGUUGGGCACUCUAAGGAGACUGCCGGUGAUAAACCGGAGGAAGGUGGGGAUGACGUCAAAUCAUCAUGCCCCUUAUGACCUGGGCUACACACGUGCUACAAUGGACGGUACAAACGGUUGCCAACCCGCGAGGGGAGCUAAUCCGAUAAAACCGUUCUCAGUUCGGAUUGUAGGCUGCAACUCGCCUAC
rnacentral:rRNA from 1 species